AAGGAAUAUUGCGCAAUGGGCGCAAGCCUGACGACGCAACGCCGCGUGGAGGAUGAAGAUCUUCGGGUCGUAAACUCCUGUCGAGUGGGAAGAAACGUCACGGGGCCAACACCUCCGUGAUUUGACGGUACCACUAAAGGAAGCCCCGGCUAACUCCGUGCCAGCAGCCGCGGUAAUACGGGGGGGGCAAGCGUUGUUCGGAAUUACUGGGCGUAAAGGGCUCGUAGGCGGCCAACUAAGUCGGAUGUGAAAUCCCCAGGCUCAACCUGGGAACUGCAUCCGAUACUGGAUGGCUUGAAUUCGGGAGAGGGAUGCAGAAUUCCAGGUGUAGCGGUGAAAUGCGUAGAUAUCUGGAGGAAUACCGGUGGCGAAGGCGGCAUCCUGGACCGACAUUGACGCUGAGGAGCGAAAGCUAGGGGAGCAA
rnacentral:rRNA from 1 species